rnacentral:tRNA from 1 species
UCCCUAGUAGCUCAGAUGGUAAAGCAUCUGCCUGCAAUGCAGGAGGCCUGGGUUCAAUCCCUGGGUCGGUAA